CGACUUGCUUGGGUACUCGAGUGGCGAACGGGUGAGUAACACGUGGGUGAUCUGCCCUGCACUUCGGGAUAAGCCUGGGAAACUGGGUCUAAUACCGGAUAGGACCACAUUUUGGAUGGUGUGGUGGAAAGUUUUUCGGUGUGGGAUGAGCUCGCGGCCUAUCAGCUUGUUGGUGGGGUAAUGGCCUACCAAGGCGUCGACGGGUAGCCGGCCUGAGAGGGUGUACGGCCACAUUGGGACUGAGAUACGGCCCAG
rnacentral:rRNA from 1 species